rnacentral:rRNA from 1 species
UAUACCUACGGGGCGCAGCAGUGGGGAAUAUUGCACAAUGGGGGAAACCCUGAUGCAGCAACGCCGCGUGAGUGAAGAAGUCAUUCGUGAUGUAAAGCUCUAUCCGCAGGGAAGAAAAUGACGGUACCUGAGUAAGAAGCCCCGGCUAACUACGUGCCAGCAGCCGCGGUAAUACGUAGGGGGCAAGCGUUAUCCGGAUUUACUGGGUGUAAAGGGAGCGUAGACGGCAUGGCAAGUCUGAAGUGAA